CACGGCGAGCCAUCGAAAAAGGUGAAAGUUGCAUAUUAGUCGCUAUUUUAACGGAUAAUUGUUGGAAUCGGAUUGGAGGCCCUACACCCCAUCUCCAACCAAGCCUCGACACUAGGGUUUGAGUAACCGACUCAAUAGGGGGCACCAUCGCUUCCCUAGAUUCUACACUCAGCGGCAACAAAAGACUAGCCGCCUGUCUCCAAUUCGCUGGAAUAUCAUCUAGAAGAGCGGCAAUAGCAUCCAUACAUUCCUGCGGUUAAGGCCUGACUUCUGCUCCCAGUCGACCCAGUCGACCCAGUCGACCCGGGUUCAAAUCCGCCUGCCGGCUCCUCGGGUGUUUGAGGAGUGAUGAAAUGGGAGGUGGCCCCCCAUCUUAUGGACGGUGUAGGACGUGAUAAUAUCAACUUGCGAGCUGACCAGGAACUAAGUUAAUGCGCCGUUGAUCCGCUAGAUUUGGUUGGAUGCUGGUGGUGAGUUGCCGAACCCAACGAAUACAUUCUGAAGUCGGAUGGGGUGACGGAUUAGGGUGCCCCUCUAGCAGGGGAGAGCAGGGACUGCCCCGGGAAAGGGGGCCGCUGGCGAAGUUAACCACCCUGUAACAACAUACAUACAUUCCUGCCAUUUACGAUAGGUGCACAGGGAUUUAGCUAGUGGGGUUUGCGGUUGGAGGUAUUUAUCCACUAUUUGAUGCCAAGCCUUGCGUAUUGCUAGGCCUGCUUGGUCCGUUGCAUUCAUAACUCCAUCCAAGGCCUCUCGCGCGCAAAGAACAUCUCCCAACGUAUGCAAUGCUUUACAGCCCAGGAGGGCUUGAUGACGAAAUUCUAGUCCCGGGCGGAUGUUAUCUAACUGGACAUUCAAUUUUUUUUCUGGAAGAACAGGGUUUCCCCACAAUGGCAAAUUCCAACACCACGCAUUAGGAACUAACGGGUGGUCAUCAACAUCUUCCACUGGGGGAAGGUAUGCCAACGCUGUCACAAUGCGCUGAACAUCUGGCGGAAAACGAUNNNNNNNNNNNNNNNNNNNNNNNNNNNNNNNNNNNNNNNNNNNNNNNNNNAUGGAUGUCCGUUGCAAAGAAGAAUAGCUUCAUCCAAUAUCUCAGAAGAACCCGUCGCCUCUUUGAUGAAAAGGGUAUGGGCCACACGGCGAGCCAUCGAAAAAGGUGAAAGUUGCAUAUUAGUCGCUAUUUUAACGGAUAAUUGUUGGAAUCGGAUUGGAGGCCCUACACCCCAUCUCCAACCAAGCCUCGACACUAGGGUUUGAGUAACCGACUCAAUAGGGGGCACCAUCGCUUCCCUAGAUUCUACACUCAGCGGCAACAAAAGACUAGCCGCCUGUCUCCAAUUCGCUGGAAUAUCAUCUAGAAGAGCGGCAAUAGCAUCCAUACAUUCCUGCGGUUAAGGCCUGACUUCUGCUCCCAGUCGACCCAGUCGACCCAGUCGACCCGGGUUCAAAUCCGCCUGCCGGCUCCUCGGGUGUUUGAGGAGUGAUGAAAUGGGAGGUGGCCCCCCAUCUUAUGGACGGUGUAGGACGUGAUAAUAUCAACUUGCGAGCUGACCAGGAACUAAGUUAAUGCGCCGUUGAUCCGCUAGAUUUGGUUGGAUGCUGGUGGUGAGUUGCCGAACCCAACGAAUACAUUCUGAAGUCGGAUGGGGUGACGGAUUAGGGUGCCCCUCUAGCAGGGGAGAGCAGGGACUGCCCCGGGAAAGGGGGCCGCUGGCGAAGUUAACCACCCUGUAACAACAUACAUACAUUCCUGCCAUUUACGAUAGGUGCACAGGGAUUUAGCU
rnacentral:lncRNA from 1 species